rnacentral:lncRNA from 1 species
UAUUUCAUUUUCUUUUAGCAUUUUAUUUUUUUAGUAUUUUAUUGUCUUUUAGCAUUUUGUUUCUUUUAAUAUUUUUUUUUAUGUCCAUGUUUCUUUAUUAAAUUCGUCAUGCAUGCAAAACCAUUUUAAAACUAUAAAAAUCAUUUCUUUUCUCGAUUCAAUAUCGAGCCCAUUUCCACACCCUUGUAAGUCGAUUGCUUUUUUAAGCAUCGCCAUCAACCUCACAUAGCUUACUCUUGGGCUUUCUUACAAUGAGCCGGUUCUCUUGCACUUACACUCAUAUUUCGCAUCAUUUGUUGUUUGGGCCCGAUUUAAUUAUUUCAUGAUUUUUGAAUCCCCAUGUGACAAAAUGUACCCCACUUCCCCAAUGUGUAUAUAAUUUUGUCUUUGUUUUAUUUCUCUAUUUUAGAUACUAACACAAGAUUAAAAUUAACCAUUUCUAAAAAUACAAAAAAAAUAUGACUCGAUCCA